CAGGUUCUAUGAUCACAUGUCUUCCAGAAAUUAAAAUUGAAAAGUUUGAAGAUUUGAGAAGAAGAGACUUUUAGAAAUGUUGCUGUUAAAAUAUUUUGUGAGAAGACUCCCUACCUACUUACGCCAAUGUCUCGAAUUUUCGCCAGCAACGAAAGCGAAAUUGCCCGACGGUUAGUUUUUGCAAUGGUGAUCGCCUUUCAGUUCUGCCCGAACUCGCGUCAUUUGGCCUUCCUGGUUGCUUUAAUUUUUGAUCAGUACUGAUAGAAGGAUAGAAUUAAUUCGGAGGGUUAGAGGGUUCUAGGAAGGUAACCGGUGAACUUGGGAGUAGCUAAAAAAUCACUAAUGACUGCGUGUAUAAACGACGGUUAUGUAACUGGAGCUAAUGGAAUGACGAAGCGAGAUUCACGACCCCACUAAAUAUUCCAUCUAAACAGACGUAUUUCUGUUGACGGACAGGAAGUUAUCCCCCAGAAUCAACAGGUGAAUCGUUUCGUAACAGGAACAUCUCUGAAAUUCAACCAAUUACGUCCGUGUGAUUAAACUGGGAUGAAUGGAUGUUUGCCAUGCGCUAGUGCAAAUUGAGAAGAGAAAAGUCAACAUUGUUCAUACAAAAUGGAUCGUUAUCUCUGGUAGCAAACAAUAGAGCAUUGCAAUUCAUUUGAAAGAAAAUCUGACACAAAAACGUUGCAAAAUCAGCAUCAAUUUAAAGCGUAGAAUUUAAAAAAGACGAAUACAUAAAUGUUUUGUUAUAAAUGCAUUGUUGUAAGUCAUUUGAAAGACAGAAAAUCUGACAUCUUUUCAAAACAUUGCAAAAUCAGCAUCAAUUUGAAGCGCAGAACUUGAAAAAGAUGAAUGCAUAAAUGUUUUGUUAUAAAUGCAUCCUUGCAAGUCAUUUGAAAGACAGAGAAUCUGACAUGAUUUCAAAACAUUGCAAAAUGAGUAUCAAUUUGAAGAACAUGAAAAAGGUGAAUACAUAUCUUGUAUAAAUGCAUCCUAAGCAAACAUGGUUUAAGAGAAACUUUUAGCAUCGAUUGUAUCGUUGGAAAGUUAUUGACACGAUCCAUCUUAAAAGUAAUUCCACUUGUCAUGAGAAGCGACAGCGUAAGAAGCGUCGGUAUUUAUACAUUUUACACUUUGAUCCAUUACCGUGUGUCAUCGAAUGCGAGAUCGAUGCGAUAGAUCGUUAUC